UGGGGAAUAUUGGGCAAUGGGCGAAAGCCUGACCCAGCAACGCCGCGUGAAGGAAGAAGGUCUUCGGAUUGUAAACUUUUGUCUUAUGGGACGAUAAUGACGGUACCAUAGGAGGAAGCCACGACUAACUACGUGCCAGCAGUCGCGGUAAUACGUAGGUGGCGAGCGUUAUCCGGAAUUAUUGGGUGUAAAGGGUGCGUAGGCGGGACGUAAAGUCAGAUGUGAAAUGCGGAGGCUCAACCUCCGAACUGCAUUUGAAACUUACGUUCUUGAGUGGAGUAGAGGCAAGCGGAAUUCCCGGUGUAGCGGUGAAAUGCAUAGAUAUCGGGAGGAACACCAGUGGCGAAGGCGGCUUGCUGGGCUUUUACUGGCGCUGAGGCACGAAAGUGUGGGGAGCAAACAGGAUUAGAUACCCUGGUAGU
rnacentral:rRNA from 1 species